GAGAAAGAGAGAGGAGGGGGGAGGGAGAGAGAGGAAAAGAGAGAGAUGCACACGCACACACGCAUGCAUGAGAAUACCAGCGAAAUGGAAUAAUCAACGUCAAGCCACACGAAAUACAGAAUUAUAAAACUAUAAGCCCAGCUUGUAAAACUGUCAGCACCAAUUUUUUUCCUUUUUUAUUUCACGGUAAAUAAGAUACUGUAUAUAUGUAAACGUAGAAAAAUAUUACAUAUGUUAAUUAACGUAAUGAAAGAUAAAGAUUUUCUUGCAGAAUAUUUUUAAUAUUUGUUCGCGAUAUUCCUCGCCAUCAUGUUUGAAUAUAAGAAAUACACUAUCGUAAUUUUUUUUUACGUAUAUCAAGUAUAAUAUUUUAUAAUUGUUAUCAAAUAUAUAUAUAUAUACAUAGCCAUUUAUUUUGAAAGUGGCUUAAGUCCAUUUGUUCGUUUUUAAAUUGAGACAUUUAAUAGUUCGCAUUUGAAUCAAUUUAAAAAUAAGAAUUAUUUAUAACCGAGUAGUAUAAUAUUCUUGCGUUAAAAAAGAAUAUAUAAUUUCAGUUUAAUAAUCAGUUUAAUAAACAUCAUUUAAAAAGUAGGACGUUCUCGGUGGUUACAAAUAGAUUUAAAAUUGUUUUAAAAAUUAAUGUAAAGAUUUUUUUCAAUUUUUGAGAAAGUCCAUCGAAAAAAAAUGUAAAGCUUUAAAAUGAAUAAGUAAAAAAGACUAUCAUUUUGUCUAUUGUAAAUAUAAAAGUUGAACCCUUUUAAAAAAUUAUACGCACAAUCAAAUUAUAUUUAUAAGUAUCUGCUCCAUUUAAUUUUCGGAAGAAAUUUAAAAUAAUCAUGCUGUAUAUACUGUAAUAAGUCCAUUAACAUCUUUGUAUUUAGAUAUUGAAAUUAUUUUUACGUUUUUAUGCAAUGGCGAUAAUUGGAAUUUUAGCGUUCAAACGUAGACUUCAAGCCACUUUCAAAAUACAAAUUUUUACGAUUCCGUUAAUUAACUGAUCUAAACUAUUAACGAAAUUUCAGUGAAUUUGAAUGUAUCAUUGUUAGUCAUAAAUUUUUAAAUGAAAAAAUAUGCGUAGAAUUAUAACUAUUGUAAACGUUAACCCGUCUUUUUUUUGGAAAAAUAGACCUACGUAGGUUUCGAAAUAAAUGGCUCAUAUAUUUCUUUGUUAAAUACUAUUGCAGAGAACAAAAGUUUCUAUUUUUACAAUUUAUUUUCUUAUCGUCCAACUGAGAUACGAUUUCACAUAAAAAGUCAAAUUAAAGAGAGAGAGAGAGAGAGAGA